UGCAAUGUAGCUCAGUCGGGUAGAGCAAGCAGGUGACCCUGCUCUGUCGAGGGUUCGACUCCCUCUAUUGCAA
rnacentral:tRNA from 1 species